UACAGAGAGCAGCCACCCCGCAGGGGGAGCGAAUCUACAAAACCGGUCUCAGUUCGGAUCGCAGUCUGCAACUCGACUGCGUGAAGCUGGAAUCGCUAGUAAUCGCGCAUCAGCCAUGGCGCGGUGAAUACGUUCCCGGGCCUUGUACACACCGCCCGUCAAGCCAUGGAAGUCUGGGGGACCUGAAGACGGUAACCGCAAGGAGCCGUUAAGGGUAAAACCGGUGACUGGGGCUAAGUCGUAACAAGGUAGC
rnacentral:rRNA from 1 species